rnacentral:lncRNA from 1 species
GAAUGUGAGACAAAAUGUAUAAUCUUCUAAGAUGAAUGGAUACACAUGGAAAGGAAAAUGGUAUCCAGCCAAGGAAGUGUGGGUGUGCUUCAGAAUGAGAUAUUCCCAAACAAGGAUGGUGUUUCAGAAGGGCAAUUAGAUGGCACAAUGGAUGGAGUACCAGGUCUAGAGUCAGGAGAAUUCACCUUCCAAAAUUGAAAUCUGGUCUGAGACACUCGCUGUGUUACUCUGGGGGGCUAAUAAUAAAGCACACCACCUACCCA